AAACGACUCUCGGCAACGGAUAUCUCGGCUCACGCAUCGAUGAAGAACGUAGCAAAAUGCGAUACUUGGUGUGAAUUGCAGAAUCCCGUGAACCAUCGAGUUUUUGAACGCAAGUUGCGCCCGAAGCCAUCCGGUUGAGGGCACGUCUGCCUGGGCGUCACGCU
rnacentral:rRNA from 1 species